rnacentral:rRNA from 1 species
CAAUAGCGUAUAUUAAAGUUGUUGCAGUUAAAAAGCUCGUAGUUGGACCUUGGGCCUGGACGGGCGGUCCGCCUCACGGCGUGUACUGUCUUGCCGGGCCUUUCCUCUUGGUGAUCUGUUGUUUCGGCAGCAGGGAACCAGGACCUUUACUGUGAAUAAAUUAGAGUGUUCAAAGCAGGCUUACGCCGUUGAAUAUGCUAGCAUGGAAUAAUAAGAUAGGACCUUGGUACUAUUUUGUUGGUUUGCGCACCGAGGUAAUGAUUAAUAGGGACAGUUGGGGGUAUUCGUAUUGCAUUGUCAGAGGUGAAAUUCUUGGAUUUUUGCAAGACGAACGACUGCGAAAGCAUUUACCAAGGAUGUUUNCAUUA